UACGUAGGGGGCUAGCGUUGUCCGGAAUCAUUGGGCGUAAAGCGCGUGUAGGCGGUUCGGUAAGUCCGCUGUGAAAGUCGGGGGCUCAACCCUCGGAAGCCGGUGGAUACUGUCGAGCUAGAGUACGGAAGAGGCGAGUGGAAUUCCUGGUGUAGCGGUGAAAUGCGUAGAUAUCAGGAGGAACACCAGUGGCGAAGGCGGCUUCCUGGACACCAACUGACGCUGAGACGCGAAAGCGUGGGGAGCAAACAGG
rnacentral:rRNA from 1 species